UCCGCUGGGAGCGGGUGUUGGCGGCUGAGGUUGUAGUAGGCUAAGUUGGGAAUUUGUGACCACGAUAUUAGCUGUUAUAAACAUAAAAUAGCGAGCUUAUUGUUUGAGAAGAGAUACGGGGUAGUUGUCUCCACUUUAGGGGUCUCCGCGCCUUCAAAGAAGAGCCAGGCCCAAUGUGCGCCUGCGCUGUGCCGGCACUUCGGCGGAAGGGAGCUUGAAGGCGCAUGCGUGGUAUCGCUGUCAGGGUGGCACGGAUGGAUGCGGUGUCCGAUUCUGGAGCAGAGGCACGUUGCCGGGUUCUGAGAGGGUGGGGAUGUGGGGGAAGGUCACUGCCCUGAAACAUCGCUGUGCUAAUGUCCAACACAUUCCCGUGCCCCGUUUCCCCACUGGGGUUCAGUGGACAGGAGAUGCUGCAUCACAGCGCCCCUGGGAAGGAGUGAGGGGGAUGUGGGCUUUGUUCUGAGGCAGACUGGGCCAGUAUCUGUGGGAACGUGUAGGAUCCUGGUGACUGUGACAAUUCCAAGGAUGUCUCCUGUUGUGGGAGGGGGGAAACACGGUUUCUAAGAGACUUCUUUCAGACGGAGGAGUACAGGAAGUCUUAUCUCUCAGGCAGGAGUUUCCAGAGGGCAGUGUCCCCAGAGAUUGGUGAAGGGGCUGCCAUGGACUCUUUGCAAGUCGGAGAUGGGUAGCCCCAUGACUAACGAGGGAGUUAAAGAUGACCUGAUGUAGACAGGCCGGUGGGUUUGGGAGGGCAGUCAGAUCCCAUCGAGGUGCUGAAUGGCAUCGUCUUCGCUGCCCGCCUGUGGAGUGGGUAGAAACCAUGAGGACUAGUGAGGAAUCGGUUCAGCAGUGUGUCGUUGUGAUAGUUGCUGGCACCCAACUGCAGCAAAAAUACCCCUUUACCCCACCCCUGCCGAGGUAUUAUGUUGGCAGAAUUUCUGCCCUAAUGCCAAAGCUCUGUGGAUUUGCACAGCCCUUUCUCUGAAGCCAUGGAGCCAAAGUCUGAUCUCUGGCACUGAGCCCGGUUAGUUAGUGAGUGAGGGCGGGGGGGUGGUCUGUUUUGUUCAGACAGUCAAACAGUCCCAGUGGUCCAACCCGACCAAGUUUCCCAAACUGAACUAGUCCCAUCUGCCUGCGUUUGGCCUAUAUCCCACUAAAGCUUUCCUAUUCAUGUACCUGUCCAAAUGUCCUUUACAUGUUGUAACUGCACCUGCAUCUACCACUUCCUCUGGCAGUUCCUUCUGCAUACAAGCCACCCUCUUGUGUGAGAAAGAUCUGGCUAGAUUAUACCACCGUCUAUUCUCCCAGCCAGCAGUGAUUAUUGGGAGACGGGAAGAUUGUGGCCUAAUACUAGGGUACAACAGGCUCAGUAACUGAAGGGCUGUGAAUCCUGUAAAUGGUUCUUUGGCAGCUGCAGGAGCGGUGUAACAUAGCAGCGACCCUGCAACGUGGCUCUGAUACCAGUCUCUUGACACUCCCACUGGAGAAGACUGGAUUCUCUGGACCGAUCGUCCUUCCACAGGCUUGCUGGUGAGCCUGACCUUUGACCCACGGAUACUUCGGGAGCUGAACGCCAGGAGGCAGCAGAGAAUGCAUAUGCUGCUGGGGUCAGAUUGUGUUUGUAUGUGUGUUUGGAGGAGUGGUGGGGAACUGCUGAUCAGAUGGCAGCACGAGGCAGAUGGACUGAAUGGUCUGCCUGUGCUCCUGUGUAGAGCCUUGUCCCUGAGAGUGCGGCUGUCGACCACGUGGGGUCGGGACGGAGAGACCGAACAGCAAAGAGGCCUCCCUCUGUCAAGGCGAAUGUUGCUGAUGGAGCCAGGAGGGACGGGUGCCUCCCAAUGCAAAUAUUGACAUGGGCUUGCUCUGGCUCCAGUGUGAAAUGUGCUGUCUUUAUAAAUAAACAGUGUUUUUCAUAAA